CAGCAGCCGCGGGAAUACAGAGGGUGCAAGCGUUAAUCGGAAUUACUGGGCGUAAAGCGCGCGUAGGUGGUUUGUUAAGUUGGAUGUGAAAUCCCCGGGCUCAACCUGGGAACUGCAUUCAAAACUGACUGACUAGAGUAUGGUAGAGGGUGGUGGAAUUUCCUGUGUAGCGGUGAAAUGCGUAGAUAUAGGAAGGAACACCAGUGGCGAAGGCGACCACCUGGACUAAUACUGGCACUGAGGUGCGAAAGCGUGGGGAGCAAACAGGAUUAGAUACCCCUGUAGUCCCUGUCUCUUAUAA
rnacentral:rRNA from 1 species